CUUCUCCAGAACCACUGGGCCAAGAAAGAUGAAACUGAUGUAGAAACAUCUUCAGAGAAGACGAAUGUCACCUUCGUCAGAAGCAGAUUUUUACUGCCAGGCUGGCUUUGACCAAAAAGGUUUUGAGAUCAAAUUUAUAUCAGACUAUAAAAACAUCCAAAUGGCUAGCUCAGAUGUGGAAAUGGAAUCGGAC